ACAGAGAGACUCCGUCCCAAACACAAACAAGCAAACAAACAAACAAAAACAAAAGAAGUAAAAAGAUUCUGCUAAAAGCAACCUUUAUAGUGCUUCAGAAAACUUACACAGUUUUCUCUGUCCAUUAUUUUUGUCAGAGUUGGGGAGGGGUUAUUUGUUUUUGAGUAUGUGCAUGUGUGUGUGUGUGAGAGAGAGAGAGAGAGAGAAAAGAAUAGAAUAGAAUCCUAACAAUCUAUAAUGAGAAGAAAGCUAAAUGAUCUAGUCCAGUGUUUUCAAAAAUUUAUUUACUUAACCCCCACAGUAAUGAAAACAUGUUCCACUGGACCCAGAAUACAGAUACACAUAUAAAAAUCAAAAGUGAAGUAUUUUACAAAAAAAAGCAGAAACAAACUAAAAUACCUAUUCUUCCUGUAUGUAAGGAGCCCUACUUUUUUUACCGCAUUCAAUUUCAUUUUUAGAAUGCUUGUCAAGACCCUGUAAAUUGAUUUCCUGACUGAUUAAUGAGUUGUUGCCUGCAGUUUGAAAAAUACUAAUUUAGUUCAACUUUCAUUCUGAUUCAGAAAGCUUUUCCUAAUUACAGAUUAGUAAAGCAAUAUCUCUAAAUUAGUACAUAGAUCCCUUUCUCUGUAGACCUCACCUUUCUGAUGCAAUGUCCCAAACAUAUCUGCCUAAUUCCUUUACAUACAGACCAAGGAGCUGCUAACAUCAGGUGUACAUAGAGGAGACUUCAUUAAGCUGAGAAUCAGUGAUCUGGAGAAAGCAGAACAUUGGCCUCUCAGACCCCUGGGAUUUUCUACUAGAAAAGCUUGAAAGUCCAAAUAGAUCCAAAUUUGAAGUCCAAAUAAUAGAUCUGAAAGAUUCAAAGUUUGGGUGGGUGACAGAAAGAACCUUGUCAUAGGAUUUGAGAGACCUGAAACUCGACCCAUGUGACCUGAGCUUCCCAAAUACUGAGCCAUGGAGCAGUUGCCUUAGAAUCGCCUGGAGACCUUUUUAAUGUAUAAAUUCCUGGGCCUCAAUCCAAGAAUUAUGAUGGAAAUAUGAACAUUUUAAAAGCUCCCUGCAUGAUCCACAUGUGACCAUGAUGGGUAAUUUCUGAUUUGGGCUUUCUGAACCCCGGGAACUUCUUCUAGAGAAUGGUGGUAAGAUCUGCCUCCCUGCCAUGAUUGUUAUGGAGAACAAAUGAAAUACUGGAUGUAUGACGAGUUAAUGGUUGCAGCACACCAACAUGGCACAUGUAUACAUAUGUAACAAACCUGCACGUUGUGCACAUGUACCCUAGAACUUAAAGUAUAAUAAUAAAUAAAUAAAUAAAUAAAUAAAAAGAAAUACUGUAUGUAAAAGCCCCAAAACAGUCAAAAGCCCUACAGGUGCAAGAUACUAACGUAAAGAUAUAUCUAAUGCUCUCUCCUGGCUCACCUCGAAAAUUACUAAUAAUAACUAGAUGUCUAAAAAGAGAGAUUCUUUUCUUGUAGUAAGUUUGCACAUUUAGCUCAUGGCAAUACCAGAAAUUUCCUAGAACUUAGGAAGAAUAUUUUACAUAAAUUUUUAGAAAUGUUAGGAAAUUAAGCCCUCAAUUAAAACUUUGGCCUCUCUGAAAGAAAAUAACAUUCUGUGCUCUAGUUAUUACCUGUGGGAAACAAUGGGGUUUGUUUUUGUUCUUGUUUUCUCUGCCUUUCAAAUAUAUAUUAGAAGAAAGAUAUAAGAAAGUUCACCUUAUACAUCCUGCAAGUAGGUGAAGCCUAAAUGAAUCAGUCCUAAAAUAGAUGAUAAAUGUUAAGCUAAUGCUUUUUGACAAGCAUUUGUCUUGGAGAAAGAGAAAGAAAUAGAAUGUUCAGUUUUUGAGGACAAGGUAUUAACAGUUUCUCAGGCUAUUUAUGGAAAAAAACUUAUUUCAGUUCUUUCAUGGUGCUUAUCAAGUAGAGAUUUUUAUUUAAUAAGCAUUAGAUGUGUACUAGGGUUAUAUAGAAAUCACAUCCUAUGUAAGAAUUAUAUAUCAAAUCCCAUACUUUCUGAGUGACAGAAUUUGGACAGUAUCUAUGUUAGUGAUCCACAAAGUUAAAUUUUCAUUUUAAAAAUGAGCAAACAAUGCUUUCUCAAUGGUUUCAUAUAUUAUAAAGAAUUAAAGAAUUUUUUAACUGAAACUAAAGGACUAGAAUUAGAAUAUUCACUUGUAUUGCUUCUGAUACAGCAUCAGAAAUAUAAAUCUAGAACCGAUCACACAGACCACACACUGUACUGGAAACACAUUAAGAGCUAUGAAACACAUUGAGAGAUGCUUGAUUAAAAGCUUAAUAUAAAUUCUCAGGGUAGAAAGCCUAAUUUUUUUAAGCAAAAUGAUUAAAGCAAGGUCUAGAAUGGAAGAAUAAAUUAGUUAGAAAAAGAGACCAAUCUAAGUGUGGUUAAGAUUAUUAUCUUUGAUAGAUCUAUGUCUAAACAAUUACUUUCCAACUUUCCCCCAAUAUCUUAAUAACAAAAGUUGCUAUGGAGUAUUUUGUUUUCAUUUUAAAUAGCUAGAUAUAAUCAACACCUAGCUGCUUUAUCAACUUCAGAUGAACUUUGGAAUGUGUUAGUGGAGGGAAUAUACUAAGAAUCGGAAAAGAGUCCAGAGGAUAUGGACUACAGUGUUUUGUCUUCUUUCCUUUUAUUCCAUAAUUGAUCAGAGAAUAACAACACAGAAAUAUGUGUUGGGCAGCACAUUAUAGUUUAUGAAUCCCCGUUAUAUGUGUUAGCUUAUUUCACUUUCAUGGUAACCUGGUGAAAUAGGUAGGAUCUGUCUCUGGAAAAAUAUCUCUAAGAUAUGCUAAAUAUGAUGAGAUGUUUAAGAAGAAAAAGUGCUGGGGAGGGAGGGACAUGUUUCUACCGAUAAAAGAAGUUACUUAAUUUCUCAUCCCUUGGGUUUAUUACCAGAGUUCUGAGUUUCGUCUCAUAAUGUAGCAAAAUAUUCCAUGCAAGAAACCACUAGAAUGCACCAGCAAAAGGAAGAUGCCGAAAUAAUGAAUGAAAAAGCAUUUCCAUCAUGGUCGUCUCAGACAAUGAGAUUCCUCCACAGAGAAACAACAUAGCAUACUACCAAGUCAAAUAACGUGAAAAUACCAAAAGAGUCAAAAUGGACAAUUUAUAUGGUUUAAAUUUUUUAAAAGUCGUUUUCUACAUUAAGCUGUGUAAACUUCAAUCUGAACCCUCACUCUACCAUUGCUUUGUUAUGUGACCUUGACCAAGUCCGUUUAACUUUCUCUCAACCCAUUUUCUCAUCCAAUGGUAAAUAGACAAAAUAAUGCUUAUCUCAUAGGAUGGUUGGGAUGAUGAAGUAUGUGAUGUAAUGAAUAUCCAAUUCACAAACUAUCACCACUUUGUAAAAAUGUGAGUUACUGAAUUGGAUCAGCAGUGGGUUAACUGGUUGUUUGUACAGUCUGAGACAUCUCAGUCUUCUCUGGUCAACCUGUAGCCCCUUACUUCUGACUGUGAAUCAUUUUGAGUUCUUUCCGCUCCCUCAAGCCAACAUCCAAUCAUUCACUUAGUUUUUCCUACUUUAUCUCCUAAAUAAUUCUUUAAUCCACUAUUUUUCUACUUCUCCAUUUCUAUAGCACUGUCCUCUUUUAGGGCUCCCAUCAUAUAUUUUGACUAAAUAGUCACCAUGUUCUCUAAACUGGUCUCCUUAUGUCUAGUCUUUGCUCUUCACUUCAUCUUCCCUGCUAUGUACAAAUCUAACCCCAUAAAUGUUUCACUAACAUUACAUUUGCUUCCCAGGGGCUUUCAACAUGAAGUCCAAGCCACUUCCAUGGAACAAAGGGACCCCCAUGACCUGACCCUUUAGCCCCAUCUCCUGUCACUGUCUUCUUCUUAUUUAGUGUUAUUUACAAAUAGCAAAUAUUUUUAGUUAUUCAUACACAGCAUCCAUUUCAUCCUUCUGUGUAUGACUUUGGGAGACAUCCUCUGAGUAGACAUUAAAGGCUUUUCAUCUGACCAGCCAAUUGCUCUAUGGCAGUAAUUCCCAGAUAAAGCCCCUUACCUUACCCCAGGUACCUCCCUUAAGGGGUAGAGAAAUUUAAAAAAUUAUAAAGGGGGAGUUGUCAAGGCAGAAAAGAGAGAUGUGACACCCCCAAGUCAUCUUCCUAAAGAAUUGUGAUGUGGCUUUGUUUUUAACCUGGAUACUUGAAUUAAGGGGAUUGAUGCCUCAGUCAUUAUAUCAAACUGUGUUUUAAAGGUGUAUGAGAGGAGGCAGUCUGGAUGUCACAAAACUACUGCGCUAUCUAGUGUGUCUCAGAGCCCUUAACAAACACAGCCCAAACAAUGACUCACAACCCCUUUAUAGCCCAAAACAAGCUGGUAUUUUUGUCAUGACCGUUCAUCAAGGUUUUUAUUUUUGAUCCAGAAGGACAUGUAGGUGAAGGCUAAUUUGGUGUCUGAGGGUGAAUGGAAAGAGGAUACAACGUUUUAGCAUUAUUGCUCAAUACCACUGAUUAUGUCUGUGGUUCAAUUAGCCGUGUCUUGAGAGAAAAGGCAGUGUGAGUCUGAACGCUCCCGGACUGAGGCCCAGUUUUCCAGGUAAAGUUUCGAUUGCUUCGCGGUUCAGCCAAGACCACCUAACCUCGAUGUUGGAAUUCACCUGAGUAUUCUAGAAGCUUUGAAAGCUGCAGGUCCAGCAAAAGCACGGUGGCUGUGUAAUAGGAACAGAUGGAUGACUAGACCAGCCAGAGGAAAAAUAAGAAGGUUCCAUGAGGGAGACAUGACAGAGGGCUUGGCUGAUUGACUGUAAUUUACAGCAUCCAUCAUCAUGAGUCCAGAAACAGAUACUGUGUAUUCUAAGCCUGACUCAGGCUCUGAUUCCUUCCAAGGUGUUAAGCAGCUCAUUUAGUAUCUGACGAAGAGUCAUCAUAAUGCUCAGCAUAGCUGGGUUGUCUCUGCCAAGAUAAUUUAUCAUUCACUGUUUUUACACAUUAAUGCAAAAACUAUAUAUAUUGAGUUCCUACAGAGUGAGGGACUUAAGUUGGGGUUUGUGGAUACAUUUAGGCAGCCUGUAAACUCCCAGGAAUGUUAUACACGGAUUAGUAGAUAUGUUCUUGCCUGUAUUUUAUGAGAGGAUUUAUAGCUUUUAUUAGAUUCUCACUGGAGUUUGUGACCAAAAAGAGAUUAAGAGUCACUGCUAUAUGGUGUAAGACUUAUCAUACCAUGUUCAUGAAUAUGUUUUUCCUAGAAUCUUAAAAGACAUACCCUGAUGAAAAAGGGAUUGGAGCCAUGCACUGUUUCUGUGAACUGUACUACGUUGUAAAAGGAAUUUUACUACAUUUGAUUCUCAAUAACAGAAUUCGAGCAGGCAUUCCAAGUUGUUUCUUAAUUGCUGAUGAAACAUGCUUGAGUUUAUAGUACUCUUCUCCUAACCAUAAACUUUUCCUCACUCUCUCAUAUUUCAAAAACGAAACACUGUUUAGUUAUCUCAAAUGAAAAGUGCCUCGAGGACAAGGAACCAGGACUUGGAGUUUUAUCACCCACAGUGUUCAGGUAGCCCAGUAUCCUUGCAUAUGCAUUAUUUAUAAAUAAAACCUGCUAGACACUGGGGUGUGGUCUCAGGCAGACAUGAACAGCAAGCUAUGUCAGAUGUGGCCCACCAUUGGCCACUAGCUGAAUGACAGAGGAUGCACCAUAGCGGUGGAGUGGGUUUGGCUGGAAAUUGAUGGCUGAAAGUAUUUGAAGUGAAAAACCAGAAGUCAUCUUUGUCACUCUGUCACUAAAAUAAAAACUGACAAUUCAGAGAUAGAAACAGUACUGCUUUUCCCCUUGCCCUCUGGCUGGAUAUAUUCUGUGACAGGGGAUUCUCCGAAAGGUCUAGAGUAAUGCCCCACCCCCCUACACCAUCACCACCAGGGGACACCCUCCACAAAGAUGCCUGACAACUGGCCUCUUCAUAUGCUUUAGAGGUGAAGCCUACUUAAAAAGUUAGCACUUGGUGGAAAGGGGAUAUUUGGUUCCCAUUUGCCAUCACUGACAGUUCUUUCUAUUGCUUUUUAUUUUCUCUCUUCAUUUAAAUUUCUUUCUCUAUAACAACACUAGCAAGAAAACUGAGUAGAUCAGACAGAACAGACCAGAUAGAGCAGAUGUUCCCAGGAGUGCUGGGAGAGGAGAAUAGGGGAAGCAUGCGGGGAUCACCAAAGAUCUUGUGAGCUGAGUUCAGCGUGUACAUGGUCAAGGCAUUGUGUACCCCAGAUGCCCACUCCUCAUCCACCCAUCCAGACAGCGUGAAAAUGGGGCAAGAAUACUGGCCUUGGGUUUCCAAGAGUCCAAAUGUGACCCAGGCUCAUCACUAUCUAUCCAUGCCAUGUUGGCAAAUUGCAGGACUUCUCAGAGAGGUCUUCCUCAUCUGCAAAGUGGAGAUGAUUACACCCACUUCACAGUGUAGUACUGUGAGUUUCAUGUGAUAAUGCAUGAAAAGUACAUGGCAGGCAUUUAAUAAAUGCUAGCUUACAGCUAGCUCUUCUUAUUUCACAGAAUCUUAUUUUCUGGGAGAUUAAGAUGUAUCCUUUUAAAACCUCAUAUCUGAUGAUAAUAUUUCUAAUCUGUAAUAUGUGUAUAUAUAUUCUUGCUAAUACAUUUCUUAAGCAAAAAUAAUUACACAUAAUUUGACCUAUAUUUUGAUGAUGAAAAGUUACAUUUUUGUAACUAUUUUAAACCAUUUUAAAAGCGCUUUUUACAUUGAUCAUUGUUUAGAAUAUCAAUUAACACACUGUGCUAUAAUUCAGCAGAGCUACCAGACACUGUUGUUCUGCUUCGGGCUGCUGGCCUAAAGAUAAAAGCUCUCUGGUUUUCUGAAGUAUAUGAUGUUUCAUUUCCCCUCUGGCAGCUCCCAUUAAUACUUAUGUUUAACUUUGCCCCCUUGGCUCAUUCUGAUUUUCUGCUGUUUUUCUAGUCUGGAAAAGAGAUUAACAAGAUUUUCGCUGACCUUAAAACGGGAGGAGGCACUGAGUGAGAGUGUGAGGGUCUCUUCAGUGUUGUAUGGACUCGCCAUGCCUUAUCUCACCUUUCCUUCUGCUUCUUCAUUUACUUUGCUGUAUUUUUAGGGUGUUUGCUGUAUGUAUGAUACAUGCUCUUUUACAAGUGUAGAUUAGCAAGUAAGUAUUUAGUCGAGGUUUUUUUUCUCAGUAAUGGAGGAAGUCUUAAUUUAAAAGCUCCUGGUUUGGUCACUUAUAUCCCACAGGGAUGAAGGUCACUUAUAUCCCACAGGGAUGAAGGUCACUUUUGACACUUGAGCCUUUGCUUGGCUUGGAGCCCUCUUCUCAGUAUGGUGAAUGUUCCAUCUGCAGUCAGGACACUGAACUAGGAUCACCAAUGGGCACAAGAUGAAUGAGAUAAAACGAAUGCCUUCAAUUGGCUUAAAAUCUAAAAGAACAAAGACAAUGUAAACUGUAAUAUGAGGCAAAAUUUGAGAAGUUUUAUAAUGAAGUCUUAAGUGAAAUUUGGAAGAAAGGGAAAAAUAUCCAUUUUGAAAUCCAACUUCCGGCAGGUAUAGUGGGCCAUUUCUGAGCCAGCUUGGGAAGGGGAAGGUUUCUGUGGCCAUAGUUUGAAGACAAAGUCAUCCAAAGAGAGAGUCAUCCAAACAGAAGCAAAUAUGUAGAGCACAAAUGUGCAGACUUGUUUAGGGAAUAGAAAGAAUUUUUGUUUGGUUUCAGAGUGGAGUGCUUAGAGUUACUGUGACAGAUAAAACUGGAGAAAUACAUCAGACCAGGUCCUAAUGCCACACCAAGUAAGGAGUUCUGUGUUCUGGUGACUUCAUAACAGAUUGAAUUCUGCGAAAUCACAGAGGUUUGCACUAGUUAAGCCAAAUGGGAGAACUGAACAAGAUGCAUGGAUGUAUUUAGAUGACUAGCAACUCAACAGAAGAGACUAGAGCUAGCCUCUGGUUUCAACUGAGUUUCAGAGGAGAAAUAUCUGGGCCAACCUGACUAGGAUGCUAGCAAACUUUUGAAUUCAGCAUAUAAUUUAUCUUGUAAAUGUGACUAUUUUAGAAAAAACAAAAUACAUUUGUGGAGAGCACCACACAAUUAACUUCAUUCAGAUUUGGCAUUUGGAUCUUGGCUUUUCUGGAGAUCCCAUUUCUAAUGAUAUCUUAUUCUGGGCUUUUUUUUCAUCAUUAUUAAAGUCACCCUUUACUUUCCUUCUGCCUUUGAAGUUACAAUCUCGUCAGUUCAAAGUCUUUUUAGAGCACUUAACAGAAAAUUUAAUCAAAACGCUGAGCCAAAUUUCAGCUAAAAAGUUAUUAGCGUCACUGGAAAUGUGAGUCAGAUUUUCAGGUAAUGCUAUUCAGCCAAAUAGGGUUCACCACACUGUUCUAGACAUUUAGAAAAUAAUUAGAUAUAUUUAGUGUAGAAGUAGAUACAAAAACCAUACUCAGAAAAACUAAAGCUACUCUAUAUGCUGGAGUACCACAGAAACUAGGUAUGAGUUUGUGUUCUCUCUAGGUAAAGAUAUCAACAUUUGUUUUUCUAUGUGAUUAUAUAUAGUUACUUAUUACACAUAUAUACCUCUCAUAUUUAAUGAAGCAAGUUGGUAAAGCAUACCAAACUGAAGUAAAGGGAUGAAAGUUUGAGACCAGGCUCCCCUAAAAUUUUCUGUGUGGCUGUGGGCCUGUUGUUUGAAUUUCCCUGGAGUUCAGUUUUGCUCAUCUUACCGAACCAGACAUUGAUCUCUUACCUGAUGUUAUGUAAUUUAGCUACCCAUUAGUUGUGUCUUAUCAUUGCCCCUUUCUAAUCCUUCAGUGGAAACUGAUUAAAAGUCACCAUACAAGAACAGGAACUUUUUGCUUAAAUUAGGAUUUUAGCAGGAAAGAGAAGGAAACAAAACACUUUAAAGUCUUCUUCAACCAUCAGCUUUAGGGGAAAAAAGGAAUUCAGUAAGUCAUAGUAUAGAUUUUUUUUUUUUAAUUCCAUCGAUUUUAAGGAUUAUCCUGGGGUCAAAUUUCACAUUCAUAUUCAAUUUCUCAAAAAUAUUUAUUGCAUGAAAAAGAAUUAAAUAAUGGCAUUUGCAGUUACCUGGAUGGAAUUGGAGACCAUUAUUCUAAGUAAAGUAACUCAGGAAUGGAAAAUCAAACAUUGUAUGCUCUCACUCAUAAGUGGGAGCUAAGCUACAAGGAUGCAAAGUCGUAAGAAUGAUGCAAUGGACUUUGGAAACUCGGUGGGAAAGGGUGGGAGGGGGGUGAGGGAUAAAGGACUACAAACUGGGUACAGUGUAUACUACUCAGGUGAUGGAUGCACCAAAAUCUAAGAAAUCAACACUAAAGAAUUUAUUCAUGUAAUCAAACACCACCUGUUCCCCAAAAACCUAUGGGAAUAAAAAAUAAAAAUUAAAAAACCAAAAUAUUUAAUGUGAUAAGUGAUUGAUUUUGCUAAGUUUCUGAAUGCAUGAUUUAUUUAGUCUUCAUAGCUAACCUGUGAGAUAAGAUCCAUUUUGUGGAUAUGAAUACUGAGGCUGAGAGAAGUAUAAGUUUAUUCAUAGUAACAUAAGUAGCAAAUGGCAGAACCAGUUAAUUAUGUGGGAGUAGAGCUCAGGGUUGCAGAGAAGGGAUAACGGGGUUUAAAAACAACAGCUAGUUGACUUCCAAAGAGCCAAGCUUCUCUUCUGUGUAGUGCAGAGCUGUUGCUGGGGAGUGGCUUCACAGCCAGGGACUUUGUUUCCAGUGUCUCCCAUGUAGGUGAGGCCACAUGGUCCAUAAGCCAAACUCUUGCUGGCCAACAGUAUAUAGCACAAUUCUGUCUCUUCCUGGCUGAAGUGGUAAAGUAUCUGAGGUGACUUCUUCACAUUCUCUUCCUUUUCCGUGGCAAUCUUGGAGGCCAUAUCUCAAAGGUGAUAGCUUCAUGCGAUGGGAGAAGUCUAUGUGAACAGAUCGGAUGGACACAAGAAAGAGACCUAACAGCACUCUCUGAUGGUUUGGCUGUGAAAAGAAAGAAUCAAAGAUACUUCUUAGGUUUCUGGAUGGAGCAUCUCGGAGGAUGUUGGCACCAGUUUACUUGGAGAGGGAACGCUGGCAAAAGAACUGGCUGGGGAGGAAGAUGACAGAUUCAGCUUUAGUUUAUACAUGCCUCAUGUGAACACUAGAUUGUCUUGAUAGAUUACUGAAAAUUAAAUGUUACAGAAUCUUAGAGUCAGUAUUAUUCAACAGAAGUUGUCCUAGUCCACUUGUGUUGCUAUAAGGAAAUACCUGAGACUGGGUAGUUUAGAAAGAGAAGGUUUAUUUGGCUUUCGGUUCUGCAGGCUGCACAAGAAGCACGGCACCAGCUUCCAGUGAGGACCUCAGGCUGCUUCCACUCCUGGCAGAAGAUGAAAUGAAGCCAGUGUGUGCAGAGGUCACAUGGUGAGAGAAAGCAAGAGAGAGGAGGGGAGGAGGUGCCAGGUUCUUUUUAACAACCAGCUCUCAUAGAAAUUAACAGAGUGAAAACUCAUCCACCGCUUUGAGAAUGACACCAAAUCAUUCAUGAGGGAUCCUCACCCAUGACCCAAACACUUUCCACUGGCACCACUUCCAACAUCAGGGAUCAAAUGUCAACAUGAGAUGUGGAAGACAAACAUCCAAACUAUAACAGAAGGAAUCGGAAAGCAUACUGUUGGAUGGUUUGUGAAGAGAUGUGGAUUUUCCUCCCCUUUCUGUAUUAACAAAGGAAGAGAAAGACCUUACCAUUUGAAAUGGGUUGGACUCUUUACUUUUAUAUGAUGUAUACUAUGACAGUUUACUAUUUCUCAACUCUCAACUAAAAUGGUAAUAAUAAUUAUAUCAAUAAAUGAUAUUAAUUUUUGCUUGGGUA
rnacentral:lncRNA from 1 species